AUUGCAGUCGAACGGCAGCACGGACUUCGGUCUGGUGGCGAGUGGCGAACGGGUGAGUAAUGUAUCGGAACGUGCCUAGUAGCGGGGGAUAACUACGCGAAAGCGUAGCUAAUACCGCAUACGCCCUACGGGGGAAAGCAGGGGAUCGCAAGACCUUGCACUAUUAGAGCGGCCGAUAUCGGAUUAGCUAGUUGGUGGGGUAACGGCUCACCAAGGCGACGAUCCGUAGCUGGUUUGAGAGGACGACCAGCCACACUGGGACUGAGACACGGCCCAGACUCCUACGGGAGGCAGCAGUGGGGAAUUUUGGACAAUGGGGGAAACCCUGAUCCAGCCAUCCCGCGUGUGCGAUGAAGGCCUUCGGGUUGUAAAGCACUUUUGGCAGGAAAGAAACGUCAUGGGUUAAUACCCUGUGAAACUGACGGUACCUGCAGAAUAAGCACCGGCUAACUACGUGCCAGCAGCCGCGGUAAUACGUAGGGUGCAAGCGUUAAUCGGAAUUACUGGGCGUAAAGCGUGCGCAGGCGGUUCGGAAAGAAAGAUGUGAAAUCCCAGAGCUUAACUUUGGAACUGCAUUUUUAACUACCGAGCUAGAGUGUGUCAGAGGGAGGUGGAAUUCCGCGU
rnacentral:rRNA from 1 species